rnacentral:rRNA from 1 species
UACAGAGGUCUCAAGCGUUGUUCGGAAUCACUGGGCGUAAAGGGUGCGUAGGCGGCACUGUAAGUCAGAGGUGAAAUCCCGGAGCUCAACUUCGGAAUUGCCUCCGAUACUGCCGUGCUUGAGGACUGGAGAGGAGAUUGGAAUUCACAGUGGAGCAGUGAAAUGCGUAGAUAUUGUGAGGAACACUAGUGGCGAAGGCGAGUCUCUGGACAGUUCCUGACGCUGAGGAGCGAAAGCGUGGGGAGCAAACAGG